UGCUUCUUGUGUCACAUCUGAUAACGAUGAUAACUCUGCUGGGCAUCUCCUUGUGCUGAGCAGCUUUUUACAGCAGGAAGGUUUAUGGCAGGACUGCCUGUGGAUUCUAACACUGACUAGGGGUUUAAAAUCCUUCAUCUCUUCUUAAGUGAUGUUGGCAACCUAAUUUUGACUUAAUAUUUCCACAAUGCUGAAGAAAAAAGAGAAAAAGAAUAAUUACAAAAAACAAAAUAAGCAGAAAUUGUUUCAGU
rnacentral:lncRNA from 1 species